rnacentral:tRNA from 1 species
GGAGAGAUGGCUCAGCAGUUAAGAGCACUGACUGCUCUUCCAGAGGACCUGGGUUCAAUUCCCAGUACCUACA